AACUACCUAUAACACUCCAAGGGUGUGGAACCUACCAACCUCAUUUUGAAGGUGUACUCCCUGCAGCUUGAUGUUUGACUUCAUGCUGACUGUAGAUGCUGGAAGUUGCUGGAUGUAUACUGACUUCUGUUGCUGAGCCGCACCAUUGCCAGUGGCUUCUGUGCUAUGACAGAGCUAGCUCUAACAGAACAAUCUUAUGGGAUGGUCAAGCUUACAGAGUUACUGUUCUUGGAAUCAUAGAAAGUGCUCAGCUUAAUGGAUGGGGAACACAUGAGGACAUGGAAUUAUGCUGUGUAGCACGUGUGCCUCCCCCCAACACAGAUACACAGUGACAGAAGCCUCAACAUUUCUAUGCUUAGUGACUGUGCAGAGCGGCCCUAUGCGUAUAUAGAAGUAUGCACAUAUAGCUUCUUCAUCUUGCUCAACAGGAUAACCAUGAUGUCUGGCUUGGAAGUGGCCAUCGCCCAGGUUG